CCGGCCUGUGCGCAGUUCCCGUGCCCUAGGAGUUGGCGGCGGGGCCCAGCCGAGAAUCUUCUUCCCUUCUGGUCUGACUAGGAAAGCCAGAGGGAGAUGGUGAAGGAGACAGAGAGAGAGAGUGAAAGAACGGACCAUGCCCAGCCUCUCCACUGCAGGAGCUUGGAAUCAGUUCCUUUCUCAGGAACCUGACCAUCAGGCCUCCCAGAAAGUAUCGAGAAACUGAAACAUCUCAGAUCAUGGCAUCUGGACAAUGAGACACACCUGCUGCCUGUUGACCAACUCCUCUUGCUUACCCCUUCCUAACUCCCCACUAUAUAAACCUUUUAUUUUAGUUAGCUUAGACUUGUUUCCCAUCUCUCAGCUGACAUCAUCUGUCAUAGAGCCUUUGUUCCCUGGCAA
rnacentral:lncRNA from 1 species